AAUUCUGCCAAACCAACUUUGGGUCGAGUGCGUCAAACCAACGAAACCGGAGGAGGAAGAGGAGGGGACACGGGGCCACCAAAGGCCACCAGGGGCCACCAGGGGCCACCAGGGGCCACCAGGGGCCACCAAAGGCCAUCAGGGGCCACCACGGGGCACCAGGGGCCACCAAGGGGCCACCAGGGGCCACCAAAGGUCACCACGUGGCCACCAAAGGCCACCAGGGGCCACCACAGGGACAGCCAAGGGAUGGUCACCAUCAGGACGGGCAGGGCCACCACCAAGAUGGUCAGGGCCACCACAAAUAGGGUCAGGAGGUGGCCAGGGCCACCAAGGCCACCAUGGGAAGGACCAGGGCCACCAUCAGGAUGAGCAGGGCCACCAUCAGGAAUGGUCAGGGCCACCAAGGCCACCAUGGGAAGGACCAGGGCCACCACAGGAAGGGUCAGGAGGUGGCCAGGGCCACCACGGCCACCCCAGGACCACUAUGAGGAUGGCCAGGAGCCACCAAGGCCACCAUGGGAAGGACCAGGGCUACCAGAGGAAGAGGCAGGAGGUGGCCAGGGCCACCAAGGCCACCAUGGGAAGGACCAGGGCCACCAAGGGGAUGAGCAGGGCCACCAUCAGGAUUAGCAGGGCCACUACAGGAAGGGUCAGG
rnacentral:lncRNA from 1 species